CUCCUCCUCACAGAGGGGAGGUGUUGUGGGCGGGACACGAUUUCUGCGUCACGCAGGGGGUGUUAUGCCCCCUGCCCCAUUCACCUGGCUGGCGCACCACGCCCACAGGUAAGUGCCCAACUGGGCGGCUUGGAGGGGGCGUGGUUUGCAGUUUAAGAUACGCUGCGCCAGCCAUUCAGCCUCACUCUUCUCCAUCUCGUCGCGAGUCACCCACCCACCACUCCCUUAGGGCUUAGGGCUUAGCGUUUCACUUGACCUUGCUAUGGACCUUUUGGUUGGUCGCCCAGGUUGCCCAGGGGGCCUGGUAGGAGUUUUUCCAACUGGCAUUAGGUCUUUUGGUUUUUCUGCCUACCUCGUAGCAAUCGUCACAACUUUCUUGGUAUUUGGCGGUUAGGCAUUGGAAUGUGUUGCUGAUGUGUGGAAGGGCUAGGUGUGGCCAUCGCCUACGCCUUCAAAUUUGGGUAUUCCGUUAAAGGAAUCCGGCGGUCGUGGAUUCUGUCUGAUGCCUGUGGGGCGGAGGGUCAUGGCAGGACCCUCGGUGACAUCAGGGGAGAGCUUAUAGUUGUAUUAGCAUCAACAGGCUCCACCUACUGGUGAAUAAACCCCCUUUAGGCUCACCCCUCUCUGAGUGGGUGGAGUCAGUCUGUCGUGGUCCAAUGCCUAAGCCAAUACCUUCUCACUUGCUGUAAUCAAUUAAGGUGUGGCCUUUUCUUGCCCAUUAACCUUAUACACUGUGUCCAUGUGUCUUCAUUCCACAAAGCGGGGAUCGGGUCCUCGAACCACAAAAUACAGCUCCCAUAAUUCUUGGUGGUGUUGGGGAAGCCACGACUGUUUAUAAUGGUAUCAUAGUGCUUUAAAUGUGUGAUGUGAAUGUGGUAAUAAAGGGUUCCCUCUUUUUUUGCUGUAUUCCUAGUCAUGAAGAAACAGAUGUAAAUACAAUACCCUUUGGAAAGGCAGCAGUUAAAGAGAUUAAACUGAUUCCUAGAUAGCAGACCACAGAGAAGAAAACAACUAGAGCAACUUUUUCAGCCCAUACUGAGCCAGGAAAACUAUGGAGCAGCUUGUGCAGUGGAGCACAUAUACCUAGGGAAAUCAGAAAGUUGUUCCCUUGUGUUGAAAAGGAAUACAUUUCCUGAACUCUGAAAAAGCAGAACAGAAGCUGAACAGAGAAAAACAUGGGAGGAAGAUCUUUUGAGUAGAGCCAUGCCAAUGCCCUGGAAAAAGCGAUGUUGUUUCUCCAUAGAUGACCAGUGUGGAAGUAGCCUCAGUCUAUGCAAUACAGCAAGCUCAAUUUGUGUUACAGAAGGCCACAGCCAUGGAGCAGCCAUUUGAUUGAUGUGGCAAGGGACCAGAUUGAUUUUCAGCUGCUAUGGCAUUGGCAAUUCCCUGACCAUGUCAGCUGACUGCUUUGUUGCACAGUGAGCUGUAAUGUGGUAUGAACUGACAGUAUGAUCUACUCUCUGUUGUAAAAAGAGUUCAUAAUGGAGAACCAGAAUCUCUGAAUAGGGGAACCUCUUUCAUAGCUGAGGUAUAGUGGUGGAGGCAGGUUCUUUGCAUGUGGUGCCAUGGAUGCACAUCAUGUGCUCUCAAAGGCCUUCCUUGGCUUUGGUCGGGGUGUUAGACUGGAACUGAUGAGAUCCUGGUUCAGAUCACUACUUAGCUCUCUGGAUAAAUAUAGGCAGUGCCUCUCAGUCUAGGUUCCCUUACACAAUUAUUAUGAGAUCAUAGGGGGAGAGGGAAGAGCUCACCUGUAUCUUUCUUGUAGAGUUCCUUUGAAGAAAAGUGGGAUUAAAAUGCUCAGUGAACGUGCUCAGCACCUGCAUCUUCUAGUGACUUGGUAUCUCUGCAGUUGGGAGAGUGCCAGAUUUUUUUCCUUUUCCUUUUAAUUUCCAUUUUUGAAAAGCAGAUAUAUUAACAGAACUUGGUUUAUGCCUCUAUGUAGUCUCACAAGGAUCCACUUUUCAAACAAAUUGCUGCCACAGUCUUUAACCUGUGACAAAGAACUGUCUCCAAUUUCCUGCCUGUAUAAAAGACUGUACAGUAAUUGAAAUCCUUAAACCUGCCCUCUGGUGUUGUGGUUCCAGAUGUAAUACCCAAAUGGAUACUUUUAAUUAACAGCGAACAUUUCAACUUGUAGAAUUGAACCGCACAGAUAGAUGGGGUUGGCUUGCCCUUUAGACACAAGUUCUGUUUGGUACAGCUCCAUUAUCUACUCAGUCAAUCGCAUCUUAGCACAAUGAAGUGUUUAGUCUAUUGCUCUAGAAUUCCUUCUGUAAUUAUUUUACAGUGUAACCUUGUUGACUCGAUUAGUUCUUUGACUAAUAAAACAAAGAGAGCAGAG